rnacentral:rRNA from 1 species
CCUACGGGUGGCAGCAGUGAGGAAUAUUGGUCAAUGGACGCAAGUCUGAACCAGCCAUGCCGCGUGCAGGAAGACGGCUCUAUGAGUUGUAAACUGCUUUUGUACGAGGGUAAACGCAGAUACGCGUAUCUGUCUGAAAGUAUCGUACGAAUAAGGAUCGGCUAACUCCGUGCCAGCAGCCGCGGUAAUACGGAGGAUUCAAGCGUUAUCCGGAUUAAUUGGGUUUAAAGGGUGCGUAGGCGGUCGGAUAAGUUAGAGGUGAAAUCCCGAGGCUCAACUUCGGAAUUGCCUCUGAUACUGUUCGGCUAGAGAGUAGUUGCGGUAGGCGGAAUGUAUGGUGUAGCAGUGAAAUGCUUAGAGAUCAUACAGAACACCGAUUGCGAAGGCAGCUGACCAAGCUACUUCUGACGUUGAGGCACAAAAGCGUGGGGAGCAAACAGGAUUAGAUACCCGUGUAGUC